UCUUCAUUAAUCAACGGGCUGACCUUAGGCAACGUAAAAUGCGGCGUAAUCCGAGAUGGUUUCAUUGUUGAUGGGGAUUGUACGAUGGACCUCCAGACAAAGGAUGCAGGAGGAGGGCCCACAUACAAUAUUACUGUAGCCAAAUUUGGCAACGUAUUGAUUUUCGCCAUGGGGAGAGAAGGUGUCCAUGGAGGGAAACUCCACAUGGAAGCACAUAAACUGGCAUCGUACAUGAGGCUUGUAUACCCAAGUGUCCUGUGCCAGCCAGCCAACCCACCUACAGACCCGUCUACCUACCACCCUGUUGCGUUUCACUUCCUGUCCUAGUUGCUAGAUACUUUUCUUCUGCUCCCUAUUCCUCGCCCAAACCAUCUUAAGUUGAUCCAUAGCCAAGAUGAGCUGAUGACUAAGGACGUCACUUGACUAAGACCAGCAAAGUGAAAGCCAAACACUUUUUGUUCCCACUGACACAAGUCCCACAAUAUGUGCUCCCCUGCAGAGUGGCCAAUGCCUUCUUUUGAUUGGGGCGCUUUAGCAGUAGCUCAUCACGUCUUCCUCCUUUCACAACAACUUCUUUGCCUGCUGUUUUACACUCUGCUCUUACAGAAAAAAGCCCUUCCGGUUAAUAAAACAUUGGACACAUUUCCUCACAUCUGUGCACCCACAUCCUUGUCAAGGUGUAGUUUGGGUCAGUUAAUCAUAAUGCGGAGUGUUACUGUGCCUGUACACACUAGAAAUCAAAUGGACAUUCCACGGUUACCUGCUCAGGCACUUAUUACUGUUUUUCUUUUGCCAGCUCCUGUAAUGUAUGAAAGGCUAUCAUUUUGUUGGACAAUAAAUCUCUCUCUUUCUAA